UGCCUGGCUCCGACGGUGAACCGCCACCUCCGCCGCCACCCACAACCGCUGCUGCCGCUAACUGGUUGGCCCUCGACACCCUCACCGCCUCCACCGCCCGGCUCCAGCGGUACCUUCGUCGCCUCCGCUUCCCGCGGUCUCUAUUGCCACCCAAGAGUUUCCUCUGCAGCCGGGCACUUGAGUAAGCCCAAACCCCCAAAUCUAUCUGUGAAUCUCAUCUCCAUUCAAUUUCUAGUAGAAAUUUGGGUGACUGGUUGAUGAGCAAGAUCUCAACCGAUUGAUGAGAGUAUAACUCUUUUUAUUUUCUCUAGCAUCUUUCCAUUGUGGCAAUCUGUAACUGAGAUUUUGUCCCCUCUUACUGAAUUGGCAGGGCAAUUGACAAAUGUAUCCCGAGAUAAAAAAAAAUUUGUAGUCGAUGAAUGCAACAAGCCCACAACUACACUGAGGUUCUUAACAAUUGAGCCAUAUACGUCAUCUAUAACGCAACAACAAAUCCUUCGUUUGUCAAUCAGAAACUAGGAACGACGGCGCCGGAUUUUCAGGUAGCCGAACUUCGCAGCUCCUGGAGACGACCCGUCGAAAAGGACGGGCAGGUACCCGGUGGCAGCCUUGUACCUCUGCUGAAUCUGAAUAAUGUCCAAGGCGAGAAACCAUCAGUGUCCAACGAUACAGCAGACUAGCAGAGUGCCUUGUGGAAAGGAAAUUAUCAGUAUGUGAGGUUACCUCUACGAUCUCUUCGCUGCUCCUUGCGCAGUUCUUCCCGAUAACACAAACUGUGCCACCGGAGCCUCCACCGGUGAUCUUUGCGCCAAAUAGACUAGGGCUUCCACCUUCUGAUGUCGUCCUGUGUUGCAUUUCUUGUACCAGAUCAACUAGUCUGUCAGUCCCAUCAGAACCAAGGCCACACGCGCUGUAGCUGUUGUGGCACUGCCAAAAAUAUGUGAAGAAAAAUUUGUC
rnacentral:lncRNA from 1 species